rnacentral:rRNA from 1 species
AGAGUUUGAUCAUGGCUCAGGAUGAACGCUAGCGGCAGGCUUAAUACAUGCAAGUCGAGGGGCAGCAUGAGUAGCAAUACUUGAUGGCGACCGGCAAACGGGUGCGGAACACGUACACAACCUUCCUUUAAGUGGAGAAUAGCUCCCGGAAACGGGAAUUAAUACUCCGUAAUAUUAUGAAGUGGCAUCACUUUAUAAUUAUAGAUUUAUCGCUUAAAGAUGGGCGUGCGCCUGAUUAGGUAGUUGGCGGGGUAACGGCCCACCAAGCCUUCGAUCAGUAACUGGUGUGAGAGCACGACCAGUCACACGGGCACUGAGACACGGGCCCGACUCCUACGGGAGGCAGCAGUAAGGAAUAUUGGUCAAUGGACGCAAGUCUGAACCAGCCAUGCCGCGUGGAGGAUGAAGGUCCUCUGGAUUGUAAACUUCUUUUAUUUGGGAAGAAAUGCAUUUUUUCUAAAGUGCUUGACGGUACCAGAUGAAUAAGCACCGGCUAACUCCGUGCCAGCAGCCGCGGUAAUACGGAGGGUGCAAGCGUUAUCCGGAUUUACUGGGUUUAAAGGGUGCGCAGGCGGAUAUGUAAGUCAGUGGUGAAAUCUUUGGGCUUAACCCGAAAAUUGCCAUUGAUACUAUAUAUCUUGAAUGCUGUGGAGGUAAGCGGAAUAUGUCAUGUAGCGGUGAAAUGCUUAGAUAUGACAUAGAACACCUAUUGCGAAGGCAGCUUACUACGCAGAUAUUGACGCUCAUGCACGAAAGCGUGGGGAUCAAACAGGAUUAGAUACCCUAGUAGUCC